GAUCAGCCCGCUCCCGGUAAAAGGGGGCGGCCCGCCAGAGGACCCCUAAACUCGGUUUUUAUAGGUAAUUUUUAGGUAAACCCAUAAAUAAAUCAAAACUUUCAACAACGGAUCUCUUGGUUCUGGCAUCU
rnacentral:rRNA from 1 species